GAUGAACGCUGGCGGCGUGCCUAAUACAUGCAAGUCGAGCGAACAGAUAAGGAGCUUGCUCCUUUGACGUUAGCGGCGGACGGGUGAGUUACACGUGGAUAACCUACCUAUAAGACUGGGAUAACUUCGGGAAACCGGAGCUAAUACCGGAUAACAUAUUGAACCGCAUGGUUCAAUAGUGAAAGGCGGCUUUGCUGUCACUUAUAGAUGGAUCCGCGCCGUAUUAGCUAGUUGGUAAGGUAACGGCUUACCAAGGCAACGAUACGUAGCCGACCUGAGAGGGUGAUCGGCCGCACUGGAGCUGAAGCACGGUCCAGACUCCUACGGGAGGCAGCAGUAGGGAAUCUUCCGCAAUGGGCGAAAGCCUGACGGGGCAACGCCGCGUGAGUGAUGAAGGUCUUCGGAUCGUAAAACUCUGUUAUCAGGGAAGAACAAAUGUGUAAGUAACUGUGCACAUCUUGACGGUACCUGAUCAGAAAGCCACGGCUAACUACGUG
rnacentral:rRNA from 1 species